AGAUGAGCAACGUGUACAUAAAUUAACAUAAACCCAAGUGUCUAAUGAGUUAGAGCACUUGUAGGUUAUUACGCGCUAAUUGGAUACCCGAACUGCUAGCAUACAUACGGACGCAAACUUGUAACUAAGUGGAUCUUGGUGCAACAAAUUAUGAAGUUUCAAGUUUACUAUGAAGACGAUGUCAUCCGUAUUUUGGAGGGUUUGAUCCAUAUAUCCCGUCUUCGAACGGGACAUAGGAUGCAAAACCUCGUUAUUUCAAAAACUUUAUUUUGAACAAGUCUUGUCUGUAGAACUUAUAAACUUAUGUUGUCUUUUGCUACAAAACAACUUUUGACUUGUAUCUUUACAUUAUGGAAUGGAUGAACAUCGUGUAUGUUUUAUAUCAUAUAGUUUGUUUACUUA